UCAUUUCCCCACCGUCCAUCGUGACUCGGGAGUAUGGCCACGCCAUUCUUUUCCUCGGGUUCAUCUCUUGGCGUGGGAAAACCCUAGCCCUUUUCACUCAUCUUCUUCGCCUUCCAAUGGCUUCUAACAACCACCAUCAUAAUCACAAAAACGACGAUAAUCACCUCAACGGCGACAGUUCCGUUUCUCACGUACCCAAAAAGCCCAAGCUUGGUUCCUUCAUUACUGACUCCGAAAUUCAAUCCGAAUUCGCUCAUCAUGACCCCGCCGUUGCACGGAUUAACAACGGUAGCUUUGGUUGCUGCCCCGCUUCUGUAAUUGCCGCUCAGCAAAAAUGGCAGAUGAAGAAUCUCCGCCAGCCGGACCAUUUCUAUUUCAACGAGCUCAAGAAGGGGAUUCUUCAUUCCAGGACUGUUAUCAAGGAAAUUAUUAAUGCUGACCACGUCGAUGAGAUUUCUAUAGUUGAUAACGCCACCACGGCUGCUGCUAUCGUCCUUCAGCAGACUGCCUGGGCCUUUCAAGAGGGAAAAUUUCAAAAAGGGGACGCCGUUGUUAUGCUUCAUUACGCUUACGGUAGCGUCAAGAAGUCAAUGGAGGCCUAUGUUACGCGCGCCGGAGGUAAAGUUAUUGAGGUUCAGCUGCCUUUUCCUGUGAAUUCUAAUGAGGAAAUUAUCAGUGAAUUUAGGAGGGCGCUGGAGAGAGGAAAAACUGACGGUAGCAGGGUUAGGCUAGCUGUGAUUGAUCACGUCACUUCAAUGCCGAGUGUGGUUAUCCCUGUUAGGGACUUGGUAAAGAUUUGUAGGGAAGAAGGCGUUGACCAAGUUUUCGUGGACGCAGCUCAUGCUAUUGGGUGUAUUGAUGUCGAUGUGAAAGAGAUCGGGGCAGACUUUUAUACCACCAAUUUGCACAAAUGGUUCUUUUGCCCGCCUUCCGUUGCCGUUUUGUACAGUCGGAAGUCGCCUAGCUGCUCUGAAUUGCAUCAUCCCGUGGUGUCCCAUGAGUAUGGUAAUGGGUUGGCCACUGAAAGUGCCUGGAUUGGCACAAGAGAUUAUAGUGCACAAUUGGUGGUUCCCGAAGUUUUGGAAUUUGUCAGUAGAUUUGAAGGCGGUAUUGAAGGAAUCAAGAAGAGGAAUCAUGAAGCUGUUGUGGAGAUGGGACGAAUGUUGGCCACGGCGUGGGGAACCCAUCUUGGUAGUCCUCCUGAUAUGUGUGCGAGCAUGGUUAUGGUAGGGUUACCAACUUGCUUGGGUAUAUCGAGCGAUUCUGAUGCACUGAACCUAAGAGCACAUUUGAGGGAUGAUUUUGGCGUUGAAGUGCCUAUAUAUUACAGGCCAUCAAAAGAUGGGGAAAUUGGAUUAGUGACUGGAUAUGCCCGGAUUUCUCAUCAAGUUUACAACAAAGCUGAUGAUUAUUACAAGUUCAGGGAUGCAAUUAAUCAGCUUGUGCGCAAUAAGUUCACCUGUGCCCUUCUUUCUAAUUGAAGAGGUGUUCUCUGAACUCAUUUGGAUAAUACAUCCGCUUUGUACGAGAUCGAAAUCCCCCUCCUCAGCUUCUUCCUGCCAAAUAUAGAGGAUAUAUCAUUUAUAUUAUGAAAGACAAAACUGAGACUCCACUCCAGUGAUAUGCUUACUACUUGGUAUGUUUUCUUUGCAUGCUCGUUUGUCAGAGAAUCCCGUCGAAGUGGUUAGAAAACCGGGCUACUUUAUCAUGAAGUAUCUAUUAUAUUUGUCUCAUCAUCUUACAGUAUCAUUUUUUUUUUUUUUUUUUUUUUGGAGCCCAACAUGUCUCUUUACUCCUUUUCCAAAAUAAGGUGCAUGUCCUUGCAGCGAUUAGCAGAUAAGAUUCAACGCUAGCGAAGCUGCAGGGAAAUGGGUGUAGGAAUCUUUCAGAUGAAUAACGGCAACAAUUCAGUAGGUUGCAAAUGUCGGUUAUGAUGGUUUUGGUACCAUGGAGUUUCUAAGUAGUAGAGAUAGUGCUGCAAGUACGUGACUUAGCAGGGGGAGCUGAAUGACCUUAGGAGUUACGUGGAUGUUGAUAUGGCGGAGCUAUCCUUGUAAACAUGUAUAAUAAAAGAUUCUUAGGUUGUUCCAUGCUUGUAACAUCCAUUGGGCCAGUUCAUGCUAACAUUCACCCUAAUCUCAUUUUCAUUUGGAAUCUUCAUCGUUUGAAUUUUAGGAA